UACGUAGGGGGCUAGCGUUGUCCGGAUUUAUUGGGCGUAAAGAGCGUGUAGGCGGCCAGGUAGGUCUGCUGUGAAAACUCGAGGCUCAACCUCGAGACGUCGGCGGAAACCAUCUGGCUAGAGUCCGGAAGAGGAGAGGGAAUUCCUGGUGUAGCGGUGAAAUGCGCAGAUAUCAGGAAGAACACCCGUGGCGAAGGCGGCUCUCUGGGACGGUACUGACGCUGAGACGCGAAAGCGUGGGGAGCGAACAGG
rnacentral:rRNA from 1 species